UACAGAGGGUGCGAGCGUUAAUCGGAAUUACUGGGCGUAAAGCGUGCGUAGACGGUUCUGUAAGUCGGGUGUGAAAUCCCCGGGCUCAACCUGGGAAUGGCAAUGGAUACUGGCGGGCUAGAGUGUGUCAGAGGAUGGUGGAAUUCCCGGUGUAGCGGUGAAAUGCGUAGAGAUCGGGAGGAACAUCAGUGGCGAAGGCGGCCAUCUGGGACAACACUGACGCUGAAGCACGAAAGCGUGGGGAGCAAACAGG
rnacentral:rRNA from 1 species